rnacentral:lncRNA from 1 species
AUUUGGAUGUAUCCUCGGAUGGUAAAUUUUUUACCAAUAAAGUGCUGAAAACGGAAAGGAUGGUCUUAUUAGCUGAUAGGAACACAAAUUUAGUAAACCAACAUCACAUUACUUGAUCCCAAGAACAUAUAGGAAGUAAGUUGUUUGGAGGUACCAAUUGGAUGAGUUCAUCGUCAUUGAUAGAGCAGUUCACCUUCUCAUAGAGCCUGAACAACGCUUCCAUCUCAUUCCUUGAGACUUGAUGUAAUUUUAGAAAAAGAAACCUGAAUCAAACAACCCAAAGAGUGGUAAGAAUAAACUGGGAGGAGGAGCACACAUGAAGAGGUGCAAGUUGAGAGAGGAUAUCAUGAUGGGAGGCGCAGGCCUUCGAUUACCUUCACAGGAGCAGGGUAGAAGACUCGUGUCAUCAGUGGCUGAUCUCAACCUGGACAAAUUAUCAACCAUCCACCAUUUAAGAUUCAACCUUGUGUCAAAAAAUGCUUGGAUAAUAGUCUGGUGGUUAGGAAAUUUUUAACCGAAAUUGCUUUGAUAUUAGUCCAACUACAAGGAUGGCAAAAUACAUUUGGUUUAAUCAAAUUCUUUCUAAUAUAAAACAUGUUAACUUCAAUUAUUUUGGCAGCUCCAUCUAGCUAUAGGAAACGUUGCAAGAACCUUAUGGCAAACAGUACAUGCAUCUCAUGAUCACUCAUAAGAGUGAACAGUUCAAUGGCACUUAUAAUCCCCAACACUCAUAAUAUCAGAAGAUAACCGAUACAAAAUGAGAUGUAGGAAUGGCAUCAUUAUGAAUCUAAUUUCAGAUGAGAAACAAUGAAAAUGGACUCCCAGGAAAAUAUUUCUGAUAAGUAAUAAGGAGCAUGUACAUUUGCCUUUUGCCUUAGUGUCUCUCCCUAUCCUGACAGAACUCUCAGGAUCUGCUACACACUGAUAAACCCAUGUUUAAUCACGUAAGCCAUAAGGUAUAGAAACAUAGACAGAUGGAUAUUGGACUUAUUCAGCAUGCCGACCAAACCUUAAUAAACACUACAUUAAAAUAUGUCAUGUUGUAGCAGAGGCAUUAUAGCAGACAUGCAAGCACGACACCAACUGCGACCAAUGCAUCAUUUAAACAGUAACCUGCCAGACCACCACAACAAGAGAGAAGAUCAAAAACUACCUGAAUCCAUGGUCGACAACAACACUGCUCCUCCACUUCAGUGUGCUCCAACCACUAGCCACACACACUGCUAACCAAACCCCGCAACCUGGUCAACCUGUCGGGAUUGGCCAUGCCCGAGGAGGUCAUGGACGCUGCAAUAGGCUCCGCUCUAACGCCCCACCUUCUCCAACUCCACCCUCAUAACAAUUAAAUGCUAGAAGAAAUCGGUCAGUUCAAACUUGAGUCCCUCCAAAAAUGGUUGCAUGCUAGAAGAUACAGUUAUAGGAUAUCAGACCUUGAAAUGCAUGCCAACCACAAGCUUCACAGCAAGAGACCUAUAAAGGAGCCCAGGAGCCUGGCAAAUAAAAGAGGCUUUCAUCAUUAUAGAACACAUUGAGCAAGACAUGAAAGCUACACAUCUUUGCUGUAGUUAUUUUAUCAAACCAAGUAACAAAGUAGGAUUCUCUUGCUAAAUGCAUGAAAACUAAGAGGCUAUUGAAAGUCAUCCAUGUUUAGAUUAGAGAAUAGCUGCAUUGAGAUAUAUUUUGGUGGGGUCAAAUAAGAAAAGUAUCAAUGCAAGCCACAAAAAAGGGUAUUAGCACGUGCUUCUCACCAAUAUCAGCAUAGAUGUGGUUGCCCAUGCCAAGAAACAACAUGGAUGUGGUUGUCUCAAUUGAACUUAGGCACGAGCUUCUUACCAAUCUCAUCAUAGAUGUUAGACCUGCCAAGAAACAACAAACAUCAAUUACCAAGCAGAAAAGGCAGGAGAAAAUUACAAACAACAUAGGGCAUGGGGUCUAGAGAAGCCAUGUACCUGCACAUCCAAAAGGACCAUGUCAGUGUGUUUGAUAGGACCGUUAUCAGUGGAUCCACAAUGCUGCUACAGACGCG